rnacentral:rRNA from 1 species
AUUGAACGCUGGCGGCAUGCCUUACACAUGCAAGUCGAACGGCAGCACGGGAGCAAUCCUGGUGGCGAGUGGCGAACGGGUGAGUAAUAUAUCGGAACGUGCCCAGUAGUGGGGGAUAGCCCGGCGAAAGCCGGAUUAAUACCGCAUGAGACCUGAGGGUGAAAGCGGGGGAGUCGCAAGACCUCGCGCUAUUGGAGCGGCCGAUAUCAGAUUAGCUAGUUGGUGGGGUAAAGGCCUACCAAGGCAACGAUCUGUAGUUGGUCUGAGAGGACGACCAGCCACACUGGGACUGAGACACGGCCCAGACUCCUACGGGAGGCAGCAGUGGGGAAUUUUGGACAAUGGGCGCAAGCCUGAUCCAGCAAUGCCGCGUGCA